AUUUAUUCGACUUAAGUUCGAGAGCGGAGAACUCUUUCUCCACUGUGCAAUCUGCCCCGGUCGAUGUCUUACGAACUCAGUCUUAUAAAUCACAUAAGAUCUCUCCUUAUCUAUCAAGGUCGAUAGAUUUCUUGUAGAUGCAUACCCUACUCCUACAGUGAACCUACCGCAGCCAUUCUACACUGCAUUGACCCAUAUGGCUAGAGACCAUGUAUUUGUGCAGUCAAAC
rnacentral:lncRNA from 1 species